GUCAUCGUCUGUCAGCUCUGCCAUCGUUGUUCCCUAGCUUUGCGACAAUCUCUCAGCUCCGUCAAAGUCAGUUAUGACGGUCUCUCUUAGCUCUGCCGUCGACGAUCUCCCUCGGCUCCGUUGUUGUCGAUCUGCCAUCGACGAUCUCCCUCAGCUUUGAUGUCGACGAUCUCUCUCAGUUUUGUUGUAUCUUAUUAUGGGCAUCAUCAAGGUGUAUCAUAUCCAUAGUCU
rnacentral:lncRNA from 1 species